UACAGAGGGGGCAAGCGUUGUUCGGAAUUACUGGGCGUAAAGGGCGCGUAGGCGGCCUGCUAAGUCGAACGUGAAAUCCCCGGGCUCAACCCGGGAACUGCGUCCGAUACUGGAAGGCUUGAAUCCGGGAGAGGGAUGUGGAAUUCCAGGUGUAGCGGUGAAAUGCGUAGAUAUCAGGAGGAACACCGGUGGCGAAGGCGGGUCUCUGGGCCGAUACUGACGCUGAGGAGCGAAAGCGUGGGGAGCGAACAGG
rnacentral:rRNA from 1 species